GAGUAUCAGUCGCGCGUAAUAGACGCAGAUGAAGUCUCCGUGGUAUUAUUAACUGGGUUCGGACCUUUCAGAGAGUACUUGGUCAAUCCUAGUUGGCAGGCAGCUCAGGGUUUGGAGAAGGUUGGACUGGGAGAGAACAUUAAUAUCUACAUUAAAGAGGUACCAGUGAGCUACAUCAAAUCACCGCAGGUUAUAGUUGGCAUGUGGGAAACUGUUAACCCAAAGAUAAAUAUGCAUACCAUGAUGGGAGGGGGGGUUGGAACAAGAGUGCAAUCCCCUUCGAACAGUCAAAUAACUAAAAUAUGUUUUGCUUCUUUACCUGUGUCUAUACUGCUUUUCAGCCCCAUUACUGUACAGUAAUCACAUGUAAAGGUUGACCUACUGACUUUUCUCUGUGAUUCCCAGUUUGCCAUACACCUUGGAA